rnacentral:rRNA from 1 species
UACGGAGGGUGCAAGCGUUAUCCGGAUUUACUGGGGUUUAAAGGGUGCGUAGGCGGGCCUUUAAGUCAGUGGUGAAAGCUCCGAGCUUAACUCGGAAACUGCCAUUGAUACUAUUGGUCUUGAAUUCGGUCGAGGUUGGCGGAAUGUGUCGUGUAGCGGUGAAAUGCUUAGAUAUGACACAGAACACCGAUUGCGAAGGCAGCUAGCUAGACCGACAUUGACGCUGAGGCACGAAAGCGUGGGGAUCAAACAGG